ACAAACGCGUACGUAGUACGUACUCUUGCUUUCCCUCUACUCAGAUCCUGAGGUCUCUCGCUCUCGCUCUCGCUCCUGCUCCUCCAUCUAUGCUUCUCUCUUCUCUUUGACUGAGUUGGUCUCAAAUCUGAUGCAACAAGCAGAUUUAUCAAUCCCUGAUACUCCCCAUCCCUAGCGUCCAAUCUCGAUUGUGAAAGAUGGAGCCAGAGUGAGUAUCAAAGAUUUGUUCCAUGAUCCGCGUUGCGGUCCUUCCGAUCGGGACUGUCUCAUUGGCGAUCUCGCGGUGUCACUACUCCAUGUUCAUGCGGUUGUCGGCGAUCGAUCAUCUCGUUGGGCUGAAGGAUCGCCCCGCCCCUGCGACUCUGCGAGGAAUUUCAGUUCAACCGUAAGAUUUUCGCCUUCAUAGGCGUGUGUAACUGCCCGUUGUUGCCUGAUCUGGACUCGGUUAUCGAGCAACUCAACUCCGCAUGCGAGGGCUACUCAUCCGCGCUUGUGGAGCGGUGCUUCGUUUUUUGUCCGUGUCUCCCCGAUUAUGAUGUUGUGAAAUGCUAUCCCGCUGGAUCCACUCCCUUAGGGCCUUUUAUUUAUGUGUCAUUCUACAAGAGAGACACAGAUAAUUGCAGUUCCUGCUCACAUAAUGCAGGUUCGUAUUUCAACUUUAUGUAAGAUAAUUACUCAACUUCACUAUAAAAAUUGGAUAAUCUCUCUUUGUGUUUCUCAAUUUAUUUUGCAAUGUUCAUUACAUAGGUUUUAUUCUUAUUUUAUAGUCCUUAAUUCUACUAUGAAGCCCUUCCAUUUAGAAACUGUUAUUGACUAAGCUUUUUUCUUAUUUACUGAAUGGUAGUUUUCUGGAGAUGUUGAAGUAUUAUUUUAAAAUUUUAAGUUGUUCUCGUAUUUACUGAAUAAUUGCACUUCAGCAGUGUUUUAAGGAUUAAUUAGAUGUCACCUAUGUAAUACUCUUUUAAGUAUUUACUGGUUCAACUACCAGAACAAAAUGUCCGAGCAACAUUCUCA